rnacentral:sRNA from 1 species
CCUUCCUGCCCUCCUGCAGGUCCUUAGGGUCCCAGACCCAGACAGUCACUUUCCCAACAGAGUGCCGUCAACUCAGCACACACUCCUCUCUUAAGCACAGAGCCCCAGAGGGAGAAGAACAAACGUGUUGAAAAGAAUCUUAUUAAGAUGUAGUUAAUUAAAAUGUAGAGUAUUGAGGGGAAUGGAGGUGUCCCAGGUGAGGGCUAAGCCAGGCAGGAUUUUUGGGGAAGGCAUUGCCGAAAUCACCACCUGCGCUCAACACUGGGGGCUUCUGGCCCCUCCAGAGUUGAGGUGCCAGCCAUGGGAAGUGCAGUCCCCUGCUCUGGCCCAGGUUCAAAGCGCCAAGUAGCCACAACUCAGAAUGCCUGCACCUUCCCCUCCUAGCCUUAUAUCUUCUCUCUGGUUUCCUCCCACGACAGUUUGACUUUGGGGACACCAUGGUCCACCAGGCCAUCCACACCAUCGAGUACUGCCUGGGCUGCAUCUCCAACACUGCCUCCUACUUGCGGCUCUGGGCCCUCAGCCUCGCUCAUGCGCAGCUGUCUGAGGUGCUUUGGACCAUGGUGAUCCACAUCGGCCUGAGCGUGAAGAGCUUGGCGGGAGGUUUGGUGCUGUUCUUCUUCUUCACUGCUUUUGCCACCCUGACCGUGGCCAUCCUCCUGAUCAUGGAGGGCCUCUCGGCCUUUCUCCACGCACUGCGCUUACACUGGGUUGAGUUCCAGAAUAAAUUCUACAGCGGGACCGGUUUCAAGUUCUUACCCUUCUCCUUCGAGCAUAUUCGGGAAGGGAAGUUUGAAGAGUGAGUCCCUGUGAGGGCCGUGUGCCCCAUGCUGCCCUCCCCG